rnacentral:rRNA from 1 species
UACGUAGGGGGCAAGCGUUAUCCGGAUUUACUGGGUGUAAAGGGAGCGUAGACGGAGCAGCAAGUCUGAUGUGAAAGGCAGGGGCUCAACCCCUGGACUGCAUUGGAAACUGUUGAUCUUGAGUACCGGAGGGGUAGGCGGAAUUCCUAGUGUAGCGGUGAAAUGCGUAGAUAUUAGGAGGAACACCAGUGGCGAAGGCGGCUUACUGGACGGUAACUGACGUUGAGGCUCGAAAGCGUGGGGAGCAAACAGG